CACGUAGGGUGCGAGCGUUUGUCCGGAAUUAUUGGGCGUAAAGAGCUCGUAGGCGGUGUGUCACGUCGGCCGUGAAAACCUGCAGCUUAACUGUGGGCGUGCGGUCGAUACGGGCAUCACUGGAGUUCGGCAGGGGAGACUGGAAUUCCUGGUGUAGCGGUGAAAUGCGCAGAUAUCAGGAGGAACACCGGUGGCGAAGGCGGGUCUCUGGGCCGAUACUGACGCUGAGGAGCGAAAGCGUGGGGAGCAAACAGG
rnacentral:rRNA from 1 species